GAUGAACGCUGGCGGCGUGCCUAAUACAUGCAAGUCGAGCGAACGGAUUGAGAGCUUGCUCUUAUGAAGUUAGCGGCGGACGGGUGAGUAACACGUGGGUAACCUGCCCAUAAGACUGGGAUAACGCCGGGAAACCGGGGCUAAUACCGGAUAACAUUUUGAACCGCAUGGUUCGAAAUUGAAAGGCGGCUUCGGCUGGCACUUAUGGAUGGACGCGCGUUGGAUUAGCUAGUUGGUGAGGGAACGGCUCACCAAGGCAACGAUGCGUAGCCGAGCUGAGAGGGUGAUCGGCCACACUGGGACUGAGACACGGCCCAGACUCCUACGGGAGGCAGCAGUAGGGAAUCUUCCGCAAUGGACGAAAGUCUGACGGAGCAACGCCGCGUGAGUGAUGAAGGCUUUCGGGUCGUAAAACUCUGUUGUUAGGGAAGAACAAGUGCUAGUUGAAUAAGCUGGCACCUUGACGGUACCUAACCAGAAAGCCACGGCUAACUACGUGCCAGCAGCCGCGGUAA
rnacentral:rRNA from 1 species